AGCUUCGCGUCGUCGGCCGUCAGCGUGCUGAAGCUGUUCUUCAGAAGCUGCAUGCGGGCAUUGACGCUGUUGGCGACGGCGGCGUCGGGACGCAGGACGUAGUUGCUGAUGUUGGACGUGAUGGACGCCGAGUGGGUCGCCAGUUCCUUCGCGUUCUGCUGGAUCGACGUCAGACCGGCGAGAAUUGCGGUAUCCGCCAGAUCGUCAAACUUGUAGCGGAUC
rnacentral:misc_RNA from 1 species